rnacentral:tRNA from 1 species
AGGCUUGUAGCUCAGGUGGUUAGAGCGGACCCCUGAUAAGGGUGAGGUCGGUGGUUCAAGUCCACUCAGGCCUACCA